GGACUUUUGGUAUAGCAUUGGAAAUGUAAAUGAGUUAAAUACCUAAUAAAAAAUGGAAAAAAAAAAAAAAAAAAAAAAGACUUGGAUAAUGAGUCUGAUGUCAUCAAGCGAGCUUUAUUAAAAUAAAUACUCUACCAUAUUUCCUUCCUAAGAGCAUUCUGAUUAAUUGCAUCAUAAAUACUUACCUGACACUCUUUUUCAUCAGUAGAGAUAGCAAAGAGACUUCAUUCAGCUAGUGACAUUGAAGGUACUGAGGGUGCUUCCCACAGUGUUCUGUUCUGACACCCACUCUGGUGUUUGCUAAUCUGUGAUCUGAAGACCUUUGUCUAACUUAGCCUAUUACAUCGAACUGCUCCGAGAGUAAUUAAAUACUAAUGCUUGUCCUUGUUUUGAGGCUGUAGCUACUUACAUAGUAAGAGAUUAAAUGUUGCCUCAAGGCUGUAGAAUUGGUUCCUAAUAUCUAGCUUUGUGUUUGACUUGCCAGCCACGGGUGCCAAUACUGGAGUUCCAUCUGUAUUUUCCUUCUGUAGCUCAUGAUAACAUUCAUAACCAAAGAGAACAUAAGAUCUGGAUGGUUUCUAUACGUCUAUGACUUUUAGGGAUGGGCACAUGGUUCAGAGGUUAAGAGCACUGGCUGCUCUUCUAGAGGAUACUGAGUUCAAUUCCCAGCACCAACAUAGCAGCUUACAGCCCUCUGUAUCUCCAGUCCCUGGGAACCUGAUACCCUCUUCUAGCCUCUUCAGGUACGGUAUCCAUGUAGUGCACAGCCACACACGUAGGAAAAGACCCAUAUACAUGAAAAUAAAGAAAUAAUAAAUAAAACAUAAAAAAGAAUUCCGUGACUUUUUAGUUGACUCACAGAGAUGGAUAUGCUGUUUAUUAUCCUUCUAUUCUUUAUUAGUUGACUGUACUAUAUUGAGUAUUUGGGCUAUUUUAUAAUUUACCAUGUCAAAAUAAUUAUUAAUAUGAAAUACUAAAUAUAAUAUGUCUCAAACUUUAAAUGUUUUAUGUCAUCACCUAAUAUUGAAAAUAUAUGAGUAAAACUAAUAAUGGUUAUUUUAGUUCUGUUGUUACCAUUUAGCAAAGGAAUUAUCAUCCAGGGAAUGUUGUAUUCAAGGUGUUAGACAAUGAUCCUCAACUAGGUCCUCUAGGUUACCAGAAUACAAAUCAUAGAUGAAAUAGAAAUGAAACAGAAGUAAUCUAAUGACUCUUCAGAGUUUAUUAAGUAUGUUUGUGUGUGUGUGCAGUGUGUGUGUGUGUGUGUGUGUAUACUCACAUUCAUGCAUAUAUAAUGUUACCAAACCUGGAGGUGAGCCAAGGGGACUGGAGAGGAUAUGCCCAUGAGAUAAAGAAGACAUGGCAUACAUUGGAGCCAGAAAGCUUAUUAUCAGAGAGUUGUUUAUAGGACAAAUCUUUUUUACAGGACAUAAAGAAGAUAAAAAGCUAUUUUAUGAUGGUUAAUUCUGCUUAUAUUACUGCAUUAUUUAAAACUCAAAGAAACUUUAAAUUUUUCUUAAUUUUCUAUUUUCCAUCUACAUUAAUUAGUUUUAGGGAGCCACAAUUAUUCAUUGCUCAUAGACAAGUAGAAUUGUUGAUAGACACUUUUACUUUAGCACUGUUUUAUAACUGAAAUAUAAAGAAAUUUGGAUUGCUUUAUGAGGACGUUUAAAUAUAAGAAAUAAUUUUUGUAUGCUUUGAUUGAAAGAAAGGCACUUCAUUCAUUCUAAGUUCUUUUUGUAAAGCUUCUGAUUACUACAAUUAGAUCCAUUCAGCUCAAACAUGUUUUGUUUUGUUCCCAGAAAGAGGAGCAGUCCACGGACCAUUGGCAUUUUAUUUGUCCAACUUCGUUUCAUAACCCUCUACAGGAGGUUAUGUAUUAGGAUUCCAAUGGGAUAGAACAGAGACACCAUAACAACUGAUGGCAUCUGACUUUAGACCCCACACCACUUACUCACCCACUGUUGAGACCAACUGUAGUGAAUGGCCCAUGACCUCUUGGCUAUGUCUGUUUUAGAGUCUUUCAUGAAGAAAGAUAGAAACAGUGUGCUCAUAUGGCAGGAACUCCCUUACAUGUAAUGAGAUAAAGGUUGGCUGUUAUAGCACUCUUUCUUCUUUGUUUCUAAUGUAAAGAAUGGUUAAGUUCCCAGUGACAAGGUGACCCGUGAAUAUCAUACAAAACUGAUACACAGGCACUGGUCUUGGGGAAGGUUCUUGCUCUAAUGUAUCACUGGCUUUCCCAACUGUUGGAACUUUUGUUCCCCUUUAUAGUUUUUAGAGACAGUACAUGCUAUUUGCUAAUUUCAUUUACUUUUUGUAAUGUAAGGUAUUCAUUAUUUUUAAAUUAAGUCUUAUCCUAGAGUGAAAGAUGCGUUUCUUUCUGUUAGUAUUCAGAACACUUUUCUUAAACUGAAACUCUACCCUACCACCCUAACCCUGCAAAUGAGAAUAGUCCAGAGGAAAUUUUUUCCAUCAAUUAUAGUUUUAAACUAGAUGAUUAUCAGCAUCCAUUUCAGGACCAUGCAGAAGUGUGGAGUGCCACAUGUGGGGAAAUAAAGGGCGGGGGAGAGCUCCAGACUGCUGCAAGCACUCUCUACACUGCCUGGGUGGGUGUCUGUCUGUGGGAAGCCAUGGAACCCUAGUACUCAGGGGUAGAGAGGGAGCAGUCUGGGGUCUCUGGGCCUCACAAAGGCCAGAGAUGACAGGGUCUCAGUCUCAGACAUUCCAGAUGCUGCAGUAUGUCAGGGAAGAACUGAGGACAAAGUGAGGACUCUAGGGGCCGCCCAGUCAACCCCCAGGGCCAAAGGGAGAAGGGAGCAGGGGGAGAAAGGGCACUGGGCAUUUCCCAUGCAGGUGAGAGUCUGGCUAGCUCAGGCUGCUAGCUCAGCAGUCAGCUUGGGUUGGCUGGAGCACAGGAAGGCCUCGCAGUUAGACAUGGCUCCUUAGAGGGAAGCCCGUUCCAUUGCUUCAACAUGGUGGGUCUUGAGUAGAGAUGGUCCAUGGUUUUGGAGCUUUAUUGUAGAAAGGCAGAG
rnacentral:lncRNA from 1 species